GGGAGACCCCCUGUAAAGAGGAGACAAAAAGCCUUAUACAGACUAACACGGCUAUCACUCUGAAACCAAGACCCAGAAUGGGAAAUUAAGAAGUGAGAUCGAACCAUCUUUUUCACUGUCCAGGCUAAGUGCAAUGGAAAAAGAAAAUAAAGACAACAAUGAUGAAAUGUACGGAUACAUAUAUCCACAAGGUGUGGUUAUUCAAGAGACAUGGAGAAUGCCUUUGAGAAAGCACAUCUAUGAUUGAGGAUCACAACAGAACUGUGUUGAAUCCCAACCUGGAG